rnacentral:rRNA from 1 species
AUUGAACGCUGGCGGCAGGCUCAACACAUGCAAGUCGAGCGGGGGAAGGUAGCUUGCUACCGGACCUAGCGGCGGACGGGUGAGUAAUGCUUAGGAAUCUGCCUAUUAGUGGGGGACAACAUCUCGAAAGGGAUGCUAAUACCGCAUACGUCCUACGGGAGAAAGCAGGGGAUCUUCGGACCUUGCGCUAAUAGAUGAGCCUAAGUCGGAUUAGCUAGUUGGUGGGGUAAAGGCCUACCAAGGCGACGACCUGUAGCGGGUCUGAGAGGGUGAUCCGCCACACCGGGACUGAGACACGGCCCAGACUCCUACGGGAGGCAGCAGUGGGGAAUAUUGGACAAUGGGGGGAACCCUGAUCCAGCCAUGCCGCGUGUGUGAAGAAGGCCUUAUGGUUGUAAAGCACUUUAAGCGAGGAGGAGGCUACUUUAGUUAAUACCUAGAGAUAGUGGACGUUACUCGCAGAAUAAGCACCGGCUAACUCUGUGCCAGCAGCCGCCGUAA